AGAGCGAACGCUGGCGGCAGGCCUAACACAUGCAAGUCGAGCGCCCGUAGCAAUACGGGAGCGGCAGACGGGAUAGUAACACGUGGGAACGCGCCCUUCGGUUCGGAAUAACUCAGGGAAACUUGAGCUAAUACCGGAUACGCCCUUACGGGGAAAGAUUUAUUGCCGAAGGAACGGCCCGCGUCCGAUUAGCUAGUUGGUGAGGUAAUGGCUCACCAAGGCGACGAUCGGUAGCUGGUCUGAGAGGAUGACCAGCAUCACUGGGACUGAGACACGGCCCAGACUCCUACGGGAGGCAGCAGUGGGGAAUAUUGGACAAUGGGCGCAAGCCUGAUCCAGCCAUGCCGCGUGGAUGAUGAAGGCCUUAGGGUUGUAAAGUCCUUUUAACGGGGAAGAUAAUGACGGUACCCGUAGAAUAAGCCCCGGCUAACUUCGUAGCCAGCAGCCGC
rnacentral:rRNA from 1 species